UUACGACUACAUCACGUUUAAAACACCUAUUCUCGUACGUUCACCGAAGUUAAGCAACGUCGAGCCUGAUCAGUAUUUAGAUUGGUGACCGCUUGGGAUUGAGAGGUAUUGUAUG